UACGUAGGGUGCAAGCGUUGUCCGGAAUUAUUGGGCGUAAAGAGCUCGUAGGCGGUUUGUCGCGUCUGCUGUGAAAACUCGGGGCUCAACCCCGAGCUUGCAGUGGGUACGGGCAGACUAGAGUGCGGUAGGGGAGACUGGAAUUCCCGGUGUAGCGGUGGAAUGCGUAGAGAUCGGGAAGAACAUCAGUGGCGAAGGCGGUCUGCUGGGCCGUUGCUGACGCUGAGGCGCGACAGCGUGGGGAGCAAACAGG
rnacentral:rRNA from 1 species